rnacentral:tRNA from 1 species
GUCUCAGUAGUGUAGUGGUUAGCACACGAGCCCGGAUAGGUUCGGGUUCGAAUCCCGCCUGAGCCG